AGAUUGCCAGUCGAGAUGCGGCAAAGCAGAGGCAAACAGCUAGGCACAAAGCAAUAGAGUUGUAAACUUUGUUUUUUUUUGUUUUUUGUUUUUUUUUCCUGCUGCCGCCUAUACUGCCUCUCUCCCAUAGGAAGAACACUACCUCUGGGUAGCCAGGAGCUGAGAUGCAGUCUGAAUGUUCACGGUGGCUUCUGACGUGGCAGCGUGAAUUCUCAGCUGGGCAGGGAGGAACCGGAGGUAUGAAUGACAACUGUUUGAGAAGAAGGUCCCAAAUCCCUCUCUUAAAACCUUGGGAUUGUGCUUGAGACUCAGCCCCGAUGUGUUCCGUGGUGAGUCACUCACCUGGUUUACCCACACUGUAUGCUCCCCCUACCUGCCCCUACCUUGUCAUAAGGUGCUGGGAACAUUAAAUCUUCAUGUCUGGAGGACAAGAAAACUAAAAGUACUCAUUGUUCAGUAGCCACUGAGGCUGAUGGGAGGCGGGACUGUGGAUUCACGUGGCUGACGAUGACUGGUCUUCCUGGCCAUAUUACUUUCUCUUUCUUUUAUCAAGUACAGACAUGGCGCCUGCCUGGAGUGGUGGUAUGAGUGCCCAAUCUCAACGAAACAACCAAGGCCACCUGUUCCCAUUUUUUUUUAUUGCUGUUGUUACAUGUGUAUAUGUGACAUAUGUGCAUGUAUGUUCAUGUGUUUGUGGGUACACAUUGUAUGCCGGUGUGUGUGGAUAUGUCUCUACGUGGCCAUUGAAGAAAUUAAAACAGGAAGACUCGAUUGUUA
rnacentral:lncRNA from 1 species